rnacentral:snoRNA from 1 species
CCCUUCUUUGAUACGAACGCUUCCCAUUCACUGCACCAUUCGCUUAAAUGAAUGAUUGGAGGGGAAAGGGCAAGCCAGAAAAACACCGUCGAACACGUCCUCAUACCGAGCUUUGCGUCUACCAUGCUAUAUCUACGGAUUGCGCAUGGUUAUCAGGCAUAUUAUGGUACUGCGUUUUCGAUAUAUCU